rnacentral:lncRNA from 1 species
CGUUGAAUGUUGUUCUGGUUCUUUCUGAUUUUCCUCAACUUCAGUAACCACAGGUUCACCUUUUACUGUUUCUGUAGGCUCAACUUCAGUAGCCACAGGUUCUUCUUUUACCGUUUCUGUAGCUUGAACUUCAGUAGCCACAGGUUCUUCUUUUACCAUUUCUCUAGGAUCAACUUCAGUAACCACAGGUUUGACUUUUACUGAUUCUGUCAGAUCAACUUCAGUAACCAGGGGUUCUUUUACUGUUUUUGUAAUUUCAACUUCUGUAGCCACAGCUUCUUCUUUUACUGUCUCUGUAGGAUCAACUUCAGUAACUAUAGGUUCGUCUUUUACCGUUUCUGUUGCCUCGAAUUCAGUAGCUGCAGGUUCAUCUUUUACCAUUUCUGUAGGCUCAACUACAGUUGUCACAGGUUCUUCUUUUACGGUUUCUGUAGCUUCAACUUCAGUAGCCACAGAUUCUUCUUUUACUGUUUCUGUAGCUUCAACUUCAGUAGCCACUGGUUCUUCUUUUACUGUUUCUGUAGCUUCAACUUCAGUAGCCACUGGUUCUUCUUUUACUGUUUCUGUAGCUUCAACUUCAGUAGCUGCAGGUUCGUCUUUUACCGUUUCUGUAGCCUCAACUUCAGUUGCCACAGGUUCUUCUUUUACCGUUUCUGUAGGCUCAACUUCAGUAGCCACGGGUUCUUCUUUUACUGUUUCUGUAGCUUCAGCUUCAGUAGCUAGAGGUUCUUCUUUUACCGUUUCUGUAGGAUCAACUUCAGUAACCACAGGUUCGUCUUUUACGGUUUCUGUAACCUUAACUUCAGUAGCUGCAGGUUCUUCUUUUACUGUUUCCGUAGCCUCAACUUCAGUAGCCACAAGUUCUUCUUUUAGUGUUUCUGUAGCCUCAACUUCAGUAACCACGGGUUCUUCUUUUACUAUCUCUGCA